UACGUAGGGUGCAAGCGUUAAUCGGAAUUACUGGGCGUAAAGCGUGCGUAGGUGGCCAAUUAAGUCAAAUGUGAAAUCCCUGAGCUUAACUUAGGAAUUGCAUUCGAUACUGGUUGGCUAGAGUAUGGGAGAGGAUGGUGGAAUUCCAGGUGUAGCGGUGAAAUGCGUAGAGAUCUGGAGGAAUACCGAUGGCGAAGGCAGCCAUCUGGCCUAAUACUGACACUGAGGCACGAAAGCAUGGGGAGCAAACAGG
rnacentral:rRNA from 1 species